rnacentral:rRNA from 1 species
UACGAAGGGGGGCUAGCGUUGCUCGGAAUUACUGGGCGUAAAGGGAGCGUAGGCGGACAUUUAAGUCAGGGGUGAAAUCCCAGAGCUCAACUCUGGAACUGCCUUUGAUACUGGAUGUCUUGAGUGUGAGAGAGGUAUGUGGAACUCCGAGUGUAGAGGUGAAAAUUUCGUAGAUAUUCGGAAAGAACACCAGUGGCGAAGGCGACAUACUGGCUCAUUACUGACGCUGAGGCUCGAAAGCGUGGGGGAGCAAACAGG